CAUAGGUUAAUGAGGCGAACCGGGGGAACUGAAACAUCUAAGUACCCCGAGGAAAAGAAAUCAACCGAGAUUCCCCCAGUAGCGGCGAGCGAACGGGGAGCAGCCCAGAGCCUGAAUCAGUGUGUGUGUUAGUGGAAGCGUCUGGAAAGGCGCGCGAUACAGGGUGACAGCCCCGUACACAAAAAUGCACAUGCUGUGAGCUCGAUGAGUAGGGCGGGACACGUGGUAUCCUGUCUGAAUAUGGGGGGACCAUCCUCCAAGGCUAAAUACUCCUGACUGACCGAUAGUGAACCAGUACCGUGAGGGAAAGGCGAAAAGAACCCCGGCGAGGGGAGUGAAAAAGAACCUGAAACCGUGUACGUACAAGCAGUGGGAGCACAGAGCAAUCUGUGUGACUGCGUACCUUUUGUAUAAUGGGUCAGCGACUUAUAUUCUGUAGCAAGGUUAACCGAAUAGGGGAGCCGAAGGGAAACCGAGUCUUAACUGGGCGUUAAGUUGCAGGGUAUAGACCCGAAACCCGGUGAUCUAGCCAUGGGCAGGUUGAAGGUUGGGUAACACUAACUGGAGGACCGAACCGACUAAUGUUGAAAAAUUAGCGGAUGACUUGUGGCUGGGGGUGAAAGGCCAAUCAAACCGGGAGAUAGCUGGUUCUCCCCGAAAGCUAUUUAGGUAGCGCCUCGUGAAUUCAUCUCCGGGGGUAGAGCACUGUUUCGGCAAGGGGGUCAUCCCGACUUACCAACCCG
rnacentral:rRNA from 1 species